rnacentral:rRNA from 1 species
UACGUAGGGGGCUAGCGUUGUCCGGAAUCAUUGGGCGUAAAGAGCGUGUAGGCGGUCCGGUAAGUCCGCUGUGAAAGUCGGGGGCUCAACCCUCGAAUGCCGGUGGAUACUGUCGGGCUAGAGUGCGGAAGAGGCGAGUGGAAUUCCUGGUGUAGCGGUGAAAUGCGCAGAUAUCGGGAGGAACACCUAUUGCGAAGGCAGCUCGCUGGGACGUUACUGACGCUGAGACGCGAAAGCGUGGGGAGCAAACAGG